rnacentral:rRNA from 1 species
AUUGAACGCUGGCGGCAGGCCUAACACAUGCAAGUCGAGCGGAUGAAGGGAGCUUGCUCCUGGAUUCAGCGGCGGACGGGUGAGUAAUGCCUAGGAAUCUGCCUGGUAGUGGGGGAUAACGUCCGGAAACGGGCGCUAAUACCGCAUACGUCCUGAGGGAGAAAGUGGGGGAUCUUCGGACCUCACGCUAUCAGAUGAGCCUAGGUCGGAUUAGCUAGUUGGUGGGGUAAAGGCCUACCAAGGCGACGAUCCGUAACUGGUCUGAGAGGAUGAUCAGUCACACUGGAACUGAGACACGGUCCAGACUCCUACGGGAGGCAGCAGUGGGGAAUAUUGGACAAAGGGCGAAAGCCUGAUCCAGCCAUGCCGCGUGUGUGAAGAAGGUCUUCGGAUUGUAAAGCACUUUAAGUUGGGAGGAAGGGCAGUAAGUUAAUACCUUGCUGUUUUGACGUUACCAACAGAAUAAGCACCGGCUAUCUUCGUG